AUGCUUCGCGUUUUUUCAUUCGUUCAAUUCUGUCGCCAAUUCCUAACCUACUCGAAAUUUCAAAAUAUUGAGGUUGGAAAAAAAAAUGAAAAUUUCGAGUAGGUUAGGAAUUGGCGACAGAAUUGAACGAAUGAAAAAACGAGAAGCAUUU
rnacentral:miRNA from 1 species